GGAUCAAUUUAUUGGUCGUGCUAUUGUACGUACUGGUAUUAUUGAUUCCUACCUUCUGACGAACCAUGAUGUCAUUAAUUUGGUGUCAUGGGGAAUCAGGACUGUUACUUUGAAAAAAUUAGAGUGUUCAAAGCAGGCAAUCGAGCCUUGAAUACUUCAGCAUGGGAUAAUGGAACAGGA
rnacentral:rRNA from 1 species